rnacentral:rRNA from 1 species
CCCUUAGAUGUUCUGGGCCGCACGCGCGCUACACUGACGAAUGCAACGAGCUUAUAACCUUGGCCGAAAGGUUUGGGUAAUCUCCAAAUUUCGUCGUGAUGGGGAUAGAUUAUUGCAAUUAUUAAUCUUCAACGAGGAAUGCCUAGUAAGCGCAAGUCAUCAGCUUGCGUUGAUUACGUCCCUGCCCUUUGUACACACCGCCCGUCGCUCCUACCGAUUGAAUGGUCCGGUGAAGCGCUCGGACCGCGGCCUCUUGACGGUUUUCCGUCGAUUGGCUGUGGGAAGUUCGUUAAACCUUAUCAUUUAGAGGAAGGAGAAGUCGUAACA